ensembl:lncRNA
GUCCUUUUGUACCUCAAAUGUGCAACUUUUGGUUGUGCAUGGCACCGCGCUGGGCAGGAGAGCAGGACCACAGGUUAAGAAAGAAGAAAAAAUCAACCAAUGACAGACGUCCUUGGUCCCACAGCAAGGAGCACAAAACACAGGCGAUGUUCAGCGCAUGCGCAGUAUAAAAAAAGAGUCCAGAGCCGAACAGCUUGCUCUUCUCCUGUCGCCUGUACGCAAUAACACUUCGACAUCGAUGCACCGGUCGGAAAAGCGCCGGUAAAAGGCUCUUCAUUCGGAAGCCUUGUCCUGGAGGCGGGAAAUACGCGCAACGUGAUAUGUGACGACUAUUGUAAACACACUCGAAUGUUUUGCUGGCCUGUUAAAGGAAUGCCGGCACAAGAGUUGCUUAUUUGAGUGAGUAAGUAGUCAAUAAUCAAUCAACGUUAACGGUUAAUGGAUACGUGACUAACGUCACGUCAGCUGGAAACUGCAGUUUGUUCCUUUUAACUUCGUCGUGUUCGACGUCACAUUUGAAAUCCUUGCAUUGAUUGCAUUCAACUUGUACAUAGCUCCAGGAUGUUGUGUGAAGUCGUGCUGUCGUCGGUAUGGCUCCUGUUCGUUAUCUUCUGGGUAGAGACAAUAAGCGUUUGGCUCUUUUUGUCAAUGUUCUACCAGGACCGGGCAUUUUACCACUGGGGAGAUGGGAUUUUUGCAGGUGACCCUAGAGAGAUGAUAUACAUGUUGAACAGAGUUGAUAACCACAUACAGACAGAGAUGCAGACCUGAGCUGGAACAAGAUGAAGAACUCCACUUAAGGGACACAAGAGAGGCUUUGGCAUUGACUGACAAAAAAAAUUAUGGAGAGCAGUAGCUGUUUUUUCUUUGGAGUGACUUCCUUGCACGCUGUGAUGCACAGUCAACAUCAUUACAUGUAGCACCCCUUUUAAUAACAAGUGGUGUAGAGCUGCAGCAUGAGUGAAUGUAAUGUGAGGUCCUCAGUGGUUGACAUUUCUAUUUUCACUUCAAGAUUAUGUAAAAGCAGAAUGAAUGUAGCAGAAAGUGUUUAGUUCGUUUGUUGUGGGUUUUCCACUCCAUUUUUAGAAAAUAGUGUUUCGUUAAUACUACCGUUCUAUGCAACUACAGUUGUUACUGUAUGCUUUAAGUUGUGGCCUUUAUCUGCAGAUGGAUUUUGCUCAGUUCAUAUGUCUCUAUUCUGAUAUAACACUGCUUAUUACGUGAAUGAAAUUCCAUAGGGAGGACACGUAACUCAGCCACCUCACUAGCAACUACAAAAGCUAAUUGAAAGCCCUAAAAUUAGAUAUUGUGUUACAAUUUUUACCCUGAAAUGAGCAACAUGUUCUGUAUACAUAUUAUUUCAAAUGCAGUAUGCCAAAAAUAUCCAGAUGUUUGACUGCUUUAGGUCACAUUUCACAAUAUGCAAACCAGCAUAUUGAGCAAGUAAAAGGAAGAGGGUCCGGGUUCAUUGUUAUGAUGGAGUCUGUGCCACUUGAAUGUAUAGUUUGUAAGGGCAGCUGCAGCAUUUACUUAAAGUAAAAAGAAAAGUGUGAUUUGGAGCACAAUCCUGAUGUUACAUUAGGCCUAUGUCUCCGAAGACAAUCAUAAUAGUGGGUUAGAGUAUGUUCCAUUUUAGGAAUCCAAUCUUUGUGCAAUAUGUCAGUGCUAUAUCUAGCAAAUGAAAUAAAAGUGAUAUUUUAGUUUAAAUACACAACUCUUUUCAAGCCCGUACAAAAUCAGCCAAUAAGUAGUGUUAACAACCGGUAGACAAACAUUGUCAAUAUUGUUUUGUAAAAAAAUGCUGAAUAAAUUUAUUUUUGAGUGCA